GACGAAGGGGGCUAGCGUUGUUCGGAAUUACUGGGCGUAAAGCGCGCGUAGGCGGUCUUGUAAGUCGGAUGUGAAAUCCCUCGGCUUAACUGAGGAAGUGCAUCCGAAACUGCAAGGCUUGAGUACGAAAGAGGAUCGCGGAAUUCCCGGUGUAGAGGUGAAAUGCGCAGAGAUCAGGAGGAACACCGGUGGCGAAGGCGGGUCUCUGGGCAACAACUGACGCUGAGGAGCGAAAGCGUGGGGAGCGAACAGG
rnacentral:rRNA from 1 species